ACCCGACGGGUAUCCAGAAGAUGGCGUCUUAUGUUUUCAAUAACUACUACUUGAUGAACGGACAAGCUGACGAGGCUUGUAGUUUCUAUAACAACGCAGCUCUCACUUCCAUCAAUCCCAUAAGAGAGUGAGCAAUGGUCGAGUCGUGGACGACACUUCAGUGGGUGCAGGAGGACAAGCAGAUAUGAGCAGUAGCAGACGGGUAUCCAGCAGCUAGAUAUUGACGAUGACACGGAUAAUUCAUCUGUAGGCCACAAGCACAAGCUCGUUGACGAUGAUAAAAGUCCUAUUUUGAUGUCUCCUAGCUCUAAUAUCUAAAUUUCUGCCAUCUUUUGAUUUUUUUUUGUCCUUCCAAGUCAACCCACUUGGAGUGUAGGUUUUAACAUGUUUUUGGUUUCUUCAAUUGUAAUUGCAUUGUUAAUAUUGCUAUUAAGACGAUCA